rnacentral:ncRNA from 2 species
AAUCCGCGCCAGCUUCGAGGUGACCCGCCGGCCUUCCGCCGACCGGGUUGAAACGGGAAGCCGGUGACGCGCCAUAGCGCCAGUCCGGCACUGCCCCCGCAACGGUAAGCGCGUGCAAGCGUCGCAUCCGCCACUGUGCCCCAGGCACGGGAAGGCGCGACGCCCGGGAGCGAUCCCACGCGCGAGUCCGGAGACCGGCCACGGAGUCUUCUUCGAU